GGGUUGUAGCUCAGUGGUAGAGCACUUGCCUAGUAUGUGUGAGGUAUGUAUGGGUUUGAUUCUCAGCACUAUUCU
rnacentral:tRNA from 1 species